rnacentral:rRNA from 1 species
UACGUAGGGUCCGAGCGUUUGUCCGGAAUUAUUGGGCGUAAAGAGCUCGUAGGCGGUUUGUCGCGUCUGCUGUGAAAUCCCGAGGCUCAACCUCGGGUCUGCAGUGGGUACGGGCAGACUGGAGUGCGGUAGGGGAGAAUGGAAUUCCUGGUGUAGCGGUGGAAUGCGCAGAUAUCAGGAGGAACACCGAUGGCGAGGGCAGUUCUCUGGGCCGUGAACUGACGCUAGGAG